UCUCUUUGUCAAGAGACAGAGAGGCUGAGCCUUCUCUGAGCAGUGUCUUUGAAUAUCUUAGUUGACAGUAUGAUCAAAGCAUUGCAAGACUGCCAGUUCCAAGACAACUAUGCAGUUCAGGGGGUUUGCCUCACAGACUAUGCAGGAGCCUGAGCCAAUACAAUGUGCAAGAAAGGAACUAGCUCACAAAAGCUGAAUUUAAGGCUUGCAAGACCCAGGGACGCGAUCUAGCUGCUGAGAAGUUCAGAGUCAAACCUGAAUCUCACCUCUGCAAAGAGCACAGGACUCCAUGGCAAACGUUGUAUAUACGCAAGUCAUCCCUGGCACCACAUUGAUUUACUGCACCAGGCUUUCUUCAUUGUGAUGAUGUUCUCUCUCUUUUCUAAAAAAAAAAUAAAAAUAAAAUUUAAAAAAUCCUG
rnacentral:lncRNA from 1 species